CAAACGGGGACCACCCGCACGUAUAGAUGGACAAGAAUAGGCUUCGGCUUAGCGUCUUAGCAGGCGACUUCUUCCACGGCGCUCGAAGCGCGUCGUGGUAUUUCGCGUAUUGUAAUUUCAACACGAGCGGGGUCAAAUCCUUUGCAGACGACUUAGCUGUGCGAAACGGUCCUGUAAGCAGUAGAGUAGCCUUGUUGUUACGAUCUGCUGAGGGUAAGCCGUCCUUCGCCUCGAUUUCCCCAAUGGGUUCUCCGGAUUUCUGGAGACUUGUAGGGGUUGUGGGAUUUUUGAUGUGUCGUCUCCGGACGGGCGGUGCAGGGUAGUCGAGUUAGACUUGGUGGAAUUCCGUCGAUAGGAGUUCCGUCGAGUCUGGUCGGCUGUGUGUUGGACGGUGCAGGGUAGGCUGCUUGGACAUGGUCGGUUCGAGGAUCGAUUCGAGGGCCGGCCUGUCGAUGAUGUGUGAUGUAUGCGGUCUAGGGUAGGCUGGUUUGUCUUGGUUCAAUUUGAUGUCGGUUCCCGUGCAGGCCAGAGUGAGUGGGGUCCAGGGUAGGUACAGGGUAGGCAGCUUAGAUUUGGUCGAUCUGGAGGUCGAUUCUCCGGCUGGCGGAUCUGACACUGUUGAAACGAGAUGCGAGCGGUGUAGGGUAGGCUAGUUUCGUCCUCGCCAGGUUGCGAUUUGGACGAGAUAUGUGGUUUAGGGUAGGCUCUAGGGUAAGUAGAAUUCGAGUUUCGUCGCCGACAGUUUUCUGUGAGUGUAUGGUAGGUACAGGGUAGGCAAAUCUCUCUCCGGCCAGUACUUGUCUGGUGGUCGUGAGUCGAUUUUUUUGUUUUGCCAUACUAUUGAAUUUUGCGGAAAUUCAAAAGUGGCUCGGGAGUCCCGCCUGGCGUGCGUCCGACUCGAACAUCGUCGGUGUACAUAUGAGAGGGAGUAAUCCGGCCCGGCCGGGGCCCAUCGCGAGCUGCCGGGAGGAAAAG
rnacentral:rRNA from 1 species